rnacentral:rRNA from 1 species
AGUGAACGCUGGCGGUAGGCCUAACACAUGCAAGUCGAACGGCAGCACAGUAAGAGCUUGCUCUUACGGGUGGCGAGUGGCGGACGGGUGAGGAAUACAUCGGAAUCUACUUUUUCGGGGGGGAUAACGUAGGGAAACUUACGCUAAUACCGCAUAUGACCUACGGGGGAAAGCACGGGAUCUUCGGACCUUGCGCGAUUGAAUUAGCCGAUGUCGGAUUAGCUAGUUGGCGGGGUAAAGGCCCACCAAGGCGACGAUCCGUAGCUGGUAUGAGAGGGUGAUCCGCCAGACUGGAACUGAGACAGGGUCCAGACACCGACGGGAGGCAGCAGUGGGGAAUAUUGGAGAAUGGGCGAAAGCCUGAUCCAGCCAUACCGCGUGGGUGAAGAAGGCCUUCGGGUUGUAAAGCCCUUUUGUUGGGAAAGAAAAGCAGCAGGUUAAUCCCCCGCUGUUCUGACGGUACCCAAAGAAUAAGCACCGGCUAACUUCGUG